rnacentral:lncRNA from 1 species
GAAAUUGCCUGUUCAAGUAAUUCUUACAAGGGUGAUGCAGACUCAUUACCGCUUUUUUCUCUAGGCAGUCAGAGACCUCUAACUCCUUACGGAAGGUGUGGUAUUGAGGAGAAAAGAAGUAACACCAGUGUGAGUUAAGAGGGCGAGAGUGACAAGCCCAGAGGACAACGAGAUGACCAGAUCAACUCCUAUGGAGAAAAAGUGAAGCUUCCCUGAAAGUCUGGAGGAGAUUUGCUCGGUAAAGGCUAGUAAGGGAGAUGCUGCCAUGGAGUGAGGAGGACCCCAGGGACGGCAGAAUGAGGUAUGUGACCCUGGAAGAAAUAGUUCAUGAAACUCAAGAAGGAUACAGAGAAUACUUUGGCGUAGAAACAAAACAAGAGGAAAAUCAAAAGACAGAAAUAAAAGUCAACAGUAUCACACAUUGAGUUCAUAGAGAAAGAGGAUUGGAAAGAAGAUUUUGAAUUGGGUAAGUCAGAGGUUACUUGUAAAAGAUGAACAAGUAUUUUCAGUAUGGGGGUAGGGCGACUUUUAUGUAACAGAAUUAAAAAGUGAUUGAAUGGGGCAAAUAUGAUAGCAAUACCUGUGGAACAAUCUUCCAUUAUAUACGAGGACACAAGUAAAGAGGGAAAUGGAACGGUGCCCUGGGAAAAAGGACUAUGAGAUGACACUUUUGAUACAGAGGAGAGAUGAGUCCAUUCUAAAUGGAAGGGGAGGGGCUUGCAGAGACCGAGUUUUAGUAGUUGAGAGGGAUAGGGUAGAACACUGAUGGAUCAAUGUCCCGGGGAAGCAGGAGGAAUGGACUGAAAGCAGAAAUAAAGGACUGGCCAUGAGACCA